rnacentral:rRNA from 1 species
AGCGAACGCUGGCGGCGUGCCUAACACAUGCAAGUCGAACGUGAAAGGGAGCAAUCCCAAGUAAAGUGGCGUACGGGUGAGUAACACGUAGGUAAUCUACCCCAGAAUCUGGAAUAACCGGCCGAAAGGCUGGCUAAUACUGGAUAGAGCGACGGAAUCCGUAAUUGGGUUUUUCGGGAAAGGGAGCCUGUAAAAAGGCCUUCGUUCUGGGAUGAGCCUGCGUCCCAUCAGCUAGUUGGUGAGGUAAAAGCUUACCAAGGCAAUGACGGGUAGCUGGUCUGAGAGGACGAUCAGCCACACUGGAACUGAAACACGGUCCAGACUCCUACGGGAGGCAGCAGUGGGGAAUCUUGCGCAAUGGGCGAAAGUCUGACGCAGCAACGCCGCGUGAGGGAAGAAGGCCGUCGGGUUGUAGAGCUCUGUCGAGUGGGACGAAAAUGCUUGGAGUUCACAGCUCCAGGAACUGACGGUACCACUAAAGGAAGCACCGGCUAACUCCGUG